UGGGCAACCUGCCCUCAGCUCUGGGGUAACUCCAAGAAAUUGGGGCUAAUACCGGAUAUGACCGCUGACCGCAUGGUCUGGUGGCGGAAGGAUUUAUCGGCUGGGGAUGGGCCCGCGGCCUAUCAGCUUGUUGGUGGGGUAGUGGCCUACCAAGGCGACGACGGGUAGCCGGCCUGAGAGGGUGACCGGCCACACUGGGACUGAGACACGGCCCAGACUCCUACGGGAG
rnacentral:rRNA from 1 species